rnacentral:rRNA from 1 species
GGGUUGUGAGGUUAAGCGACUAAGCGUACACGGUGGAUGCCUAGGCAAUCAGAGGCGAUGAAGGACGUGCUAAUCUGCGAUAAGCGUCGGUAAGGUGAUAUGAACCGUUAUACCCGACGAUUUCCGAAUGGGGAAACCCAGUGCAAUCCGUUGCACUAUCGUUUGAUGAAUACAUAGUCAAACGAAGCGAACCGGGGGAACUGAAACAUCUCAGUACCCCGAGGAAAAGAAAUCAACCGAGAUUCCCCUAGUAGCGGCGAGCGAACGGGGAGCAGCCCAGAGUCUUAAUCAGCAUUAGUAUCAGGAGAACGGUCUGGAAAGUCCGGCAGUAAAGGGUGAUAGCCCCGUAUCUGAAGAUGCUAGUGUUGUGAACUCGACGAGUAGGGCGGGACACGUGUUAUCCUGUCUGAAUAUGGGGGGACCAUCCUCCAAGGCUAAAUACUCCUGAUUGACCGAUAGUGAACCAGUACCGUGAGGGAAAGGCGAAAAGAACCCCGGCGAGGGGAGUGAAAUAGAACCUGAAACCGUGUACGUACAAGCAGUGGGAGCCUUGAUUUAUCAGGGUGACUGCGUACCUUUUGUAUAAUGGGUCAGCGACUUAUAUUCUGUAGCAAGGUUAACCGUAUAGGGGAGCCGUAGGGAAACCGAGUCUUAACUGGGCGAAUGAGUUGCAGGGUAUAGACCCGAAACCCGGUGAUCUAGCCAUGGGCAGGUUGAAGGUUGGGUAACACUAACUGGAGGACCGAACCGACUAAUGUUGAAAAAUUAGCGGAUGACUUGUGGCUGGGGGUGAAAGGCCAAUCAAACCGGGAGAUAGCUGGUUCUCCCCGAAAGCUAUUUAGGUAGCGCCUCGUGAACUCAUCUUCGGGGGUAGAGCACUGUUUCGACUAGGGGGUCAUCCCGACUUACCAACUCGAUGCAAACUACGAAUACCGAAGAAUGUUAUCACGGGAGACACACGGCGGGUGCUAACGUUCGUCGUGAAGAGGGAAACAACCCAGACCGCCAGCUAAGGUCCCAAAGUCAUAGUUAAGUGGGAAACGAAGUGGGAAGGCUCAGACAGCCAGGAUGUUGGCUUAGAAGCAGCCAUCAUUUAAAGAAAGCGUAAUAGCUCACUGGUCGAGUCGGCCUGCGCGGAAGAUGUAACGGGGCUAAACUAUGCACCGAAGCUGCGGCAGCGAUAUGUAAAUAUUGUUGGGUAGGGGAGCGUUCUGUAAGCCUGUGAAGGUGUACUGUGAGGUAUGCUGGAGGUAUCAGAAGUGCGAAUGCUGACAUAAGUAACGAUAAUGCGGGUGAAAAACCCGCACGCCGGAAGACCAAGGGUUCCUGUCCAACGUUAAUCGGGGCAGGGUGAGUCGACCCCUAAGGCGAGGCAGAAAUGCGUAGUCGAUGGGAAACGGGUUAAUAUUCCCGUACUGGUGAUAAUUGCGAUGGGGGGACGGAGAAGGCUAGGCUGGCCGGGCGACGGUUGUCCCGGUUUAAGGAUGUAGGCAGGUGAAUUAGGCAAAUCCGGUUCACUAUAUGCUGAGGUCUGAUGACGAGUCACUACGGUGGCGAAGUAGCUCAUGCCCCGCUUCCAGGAAAAGCCUCUAAGCUCUAGAUUAUCACUAAUCGUACCCCAAACCGACACAGGUGGUCAGGUAGAGAAUACUCAGGCGCUUGAGAGAACUCGGGUGAAGGAACUAGGCAAAAUGGUGCCGUAACUUCGGGAGAAGGCACGCUGGCGUUAGGUGAAGUGGUUUACCCAUGGAGCUGAAGCCAGUCGCAGAUACCAGCUGGCUGCAACUGUUUAUUAAAAACACAGCACUGUGCAAACACGAAAGUGGACGUAUACGGUGUGACGCCUGCCCGGUGCUGGAAGGUUAAUUGAUGGGGUUAUCCGUAAGGAGAAGCUCUUGAUCGAAGCCCCAGUAAACGGCGGCCGUAACUAUAACGGUCCUAAGGUAGCG